rnacentral:lncRNA from 1 species
UUUGAGGGCUUUGAGACCUAAUUGAUGGGUUUAGAACCUUUAUUUAGGUUGGAUUUGAAGAACUCUAACUCUCAUUUGGAGCUUGAGAGAGGAUUUCUUUACCUAGGUGAGUUUUUCUCCACCUUAGCCUAUGUUGCUUAUUGAUUGAGCUUAGGGUUGAUCGUAAGGUUUGUUUGACCCUUGUUCCUACAUCUUUAGGGUGCUAGGAGACUCGUGGACAUCUUCGUCGGAUCUUACGAAGGGUUUCGGUAACUUCGGUGGGUUUGACUUCAUGAAAUCGAGGCAAAAUAGCCCCUAAGUAUUCGAUACUUGUCGUAACGCCAAUUCGAUUGCAUAUUUAUGUUAAAUGAGAUUUAUGUGAAUUUUAGAACACUUAAAUUGCAUGCCUUAUGUAUCAUAAAAAUUUCACUCUAUAUAGUAGGGCAUUCGGGGCAUUUUUGCAUGCAUAUGAGGAGUGUUCGUGUUAGCGACUUGGAAACGUGUCUCUUAUGUUAGAGUUUACUCAAAUUAUGCAUUUGUAAACAAUAAACUCAUGUUUGGACUUAGUUGACAAAAAGCCAUAAAGAGGCACUUGACAUAGUAAACUGUGAAACUGCAACAUAGAGACAUAGCAAUAGGCCAUUGAACAUCUUCUAUAUUCGAUGUUAGAGACAUGAUGAUAUAGAGAUAGGCCUUUGAGACAUUCGACGUAUAUUUCAUGUUUUUAGACAUGAGGACUUGGUACUUGAGACAGAUUUUUCGCUUGCUUGCCAUUGUGCUCAUUCGCACAUUCUUGUGAGGGUCGCUCCUACAAGCCGGCACUCCGGAGAUAGCCAUCGCGACAUAUGCUCGCUCGUGCGGGAUUGGGCGCCGAAAUGGGAUGCCGUGGGGAAGGCUCAUUCCUAGAGUGGGGAUGUUGACUACCACGGGACCAUUAGGCACGACGCAGGUCAGACAGCCUACGGGUGGGUCUUAUAUGAUUGGAACUUGGUGACAGAACAUGCCAUUUAGACUUUGACUAGAAUAGUAAACAAUGACAUUUUACUAUUUAGCUUGUGGACAUCAUGCUAGUGAUACCUUGGUACAUUCAUGUUAGAAUAGUCCUUUUUAUUACUUAUGCAAUUCAUGCUAAGUAGAGAUAUCAUGUUGUAGUAAGUUACAUGUUUACUCACAUAUCGAUUCUAUUGCUUUUAUUGUUACUUACCUGUUUAGCUCUUUUGGGCCUAGUGGUGCUUUCACUGAAGUUAGUAAUUGCCCACUGGGAACUAUUAUUUAAUAGUUCUCAUGCCCCUUGUUUUAUGUUUCCUUUUCAGAGCCCGAUGGACCGGCGGAGGCACGGGAUCGCGGCAAGGGAAUCGCUAGCUAGAUAGCGAGAAUUUGCUGUUGCUUAGGUAGUUUUCUCUCUUUUUGUUGUAGUUGAGAGAGAGUGAGGUUUUGUAUCCAUGUAUAGAGACCACCUAUGUAUUUACUUAUAUCUCUUGUUUCGGGUUUCCUCUUGUGCUACUUUAUGUUUUCAUUUAAUGGAUUUUUAGUUUAGGGUUUUUAUCCUCUAUUAUAGCAUCUAGAUAUACUUGCUCUGAUACUUCUAUAUGUUUUCUUUUUACUGCUUUCUUUAUCGUUUUGUUUUAUAUGCCUUAUAUGUUUUAGACAUAUGGCUGGUCUGGACACGCGCCGGGCGGGCUUCCGCUGGGUCCCGGGGCGUGACAGAUUAGUUUGGUAUCAGAGGCUAGGGUUGAGUCUUAGUGGGCCUAGCAAACCUUAGGCCGGUUGGACUAUAGGAAAUAGGCUCGUGAGAGACGAGGUCUAUUUGACUUAUAAGCGAAAGUAUUUUGAUUGGAUAUCUUUGAUAACUCUAGAAAGUAGAGUUAAAUUGAAGUGUAUAGCUCCUAACUUCGCAGAGGGUUACGUUGGCGGCCGACAACGUAACAUCGGGAGUUAGUAGUGAAGCACACUUCCUUACUUUCGCAUGAUUUGGGGUAUUACCUUCUUGAGUGGGGAUUCGAUGGCGUGAGUUUACUAACUUACGCUUUUAUGAUGUUGUAGUGAGAUACUGAUCACUCGCUCCCAAUCUGCCGGAGCGGAUAAUGCGGCAAACUUGAAGGAGGUCGAGACCUCCGCUACCUCCGGAUCUGGCGAGGUCCAAGAGUUGAGGAACCAACUUGCGGCCCUCACCGACUUAGUGACUCAGCAGGCGGAGGCGGCCUGACAGCAGACUGAGGCUGCGCGCCGGCAUGAGGCACGGAUGAAGUGCCUGGAUGACCUUCUUCUGCAGCAGGCGGUAGCUUCCAGGGAGACCGAGGCCCCUACACCGCCAGCUCUGGUUGUGGACGUCGCGCCGAGGGCGCCGUCCCCCGUGCCCAGUUCGUCGCAUGCGGCACCCGUGGCCGCGCCUCAGGAGGAGGCUUUGGCGGCGCCACCUGUUCAGGCGCCCCCGAUUGGAGCUAUUUUUCCCGUGUUGGUCGAGGGAGCGGAGCGAGACCGACUGAUGGAGCGCCUCAACGAGUUCAGAAGGUGCAGUCUCCGGAUCUUCGACGGCGAGAAGGUCGACCACUGGAUCGUGGAGAAGUGGUUGAUGCAUAUGGAGAAACUCUUCCGCGACACUUUCGUGGAGGAGAGGGAUCGAGUUUGGCUCGCCACUCACCAUCUGGACAGCGAGGCCUAUCGCUGGUGGUUGGAUCUUCAGGAGAAUGCCAACACCGACUUAGCGGCCAUCACGUGGAAGAAGUUCAAGGAGCUUCUUUUGGCGCAUUACUUCCCGACCAGCGUUAAGCAGAAGAUGGAGCAGGAUCUGCGCAACUUGCGCCAAGGUGAUCGGACUGUAGCCGAGUACGAGCGGGAGUUUGCUCGGCUUCUACACUGCGUACCUUUCGUCGUGCGGGACGACGAGGACAAGGCCCGCAUCUUCGAGCGAGGGUUGCGACCGUCAAUCUUCCGGUUUGUGCAAUCCUCUAACCUUCAAACCUACCGGGAGGUGGUGGAUCGCCGGCUCAUCGUGGAGAGCGGCGCGGAAGACGUCCAGGAGCGGCAAGAGGCUAUGGACAAGGGUAAGGCCAAGAGGCCUGCAGCUGAGGGUGUGAGCCAGACGCACUCUGGGAGGCCGCCGAAGCAUCCUAGGAGCCAGCAGUGGCUCGGCGACUCACCAUGGAGGUUUUGACCGACGCCGACCUCCCCAGUGCGUGAUCUGUGGUGGUCCCCACAUUCCACCGCAGUGCCCGCAGCGGGGAGGGAGGUAUUUCCAGUAUGGCCAGGAGGGCCACUUUUGGACCAAGUGCCCGAGAGGUUCUUUACCGGCACAGUCGAUUGCAUCGGCACCGGCUCUACCAAUCGCUAGCCACGGGACUCCGUCGACACAGUACCAGCCUGGGCGGCCACCCGUCGAGCGCCAGAGCGAGGGAUCUCGACAGGCCCCGAGUGGGCGUUUGUAUGCCGCUCAGACCGAGAAUGCGGCGUCAGCCGAGGAUGUGGUUGCAAGUAUCAUUUUACUUGAUGGCAUUAGAGUUCGUGCUUUAUUUGAUACCGGUGCAUUGCAUUCAUUUAUAGAUCGGCUGUUUGCCGAGUUGCAUAGCAUCCCUUUGAUUUUUUUGUUGCAUCCGGGACAUGUUGUAGUACCCGACCACACACUGGAUAUUAGAGAGUAUUGCCCUAGUUGCCCUGUUCAAGUAGGAGAUUGGAUCAUGCCCGUAGAUUUGCUAGCUCUGCGCAAGCUAGGGAAUUUCGAUGUGGUCUUGGGUAUGGAUUUGCUAACCAAGUAUUAUGCCACGAUUGAUUGUAAGAAUCGCACGAUUACUUUUAGAGAACCGGGGCAAACUGAGGUUGUGUAUAGAGGAUGCCGGAGUUCGCUUUUUGCGAUGUCGAUCAGCUCGUCUCGAGCUAGGCAGCUGAUCAGCCGAGGAUGUGUAGCUUACUUGGCUAGUGUUGUGUUGAGGGGCGAAGAUGACACCCCUAGGAUUGAGGAUAUUUCGGUGGUACGGGAGUUUCAGGACGUGUUUCCAGUUGAGCUACCGGGUAUGCCACCCGAUAGGGAGAUCGAGUUUGUGAUAGAUCUCAUCCCUGGGACUACUCCAAUCUCGAAGGCACCCUAUAGGAUGGCACCGGCGGAGCUAAAGGAGCUGAGGGCACAGAUACAUGAUCUGUUGGACAAGAGCUUCAUUCGACCGAGCGUCUCGCUGUGGGGAGCGCCAGUUCUGUUCAUCAAGAAAAAAGGACGGAUCACUUUGCCUAUGUGUAGACUAUCGUGAACUUAAUAAAGUCACGAUCAAGAAUAAGUAUCCGCUGCCGAGGAUCGAUGACUUGUUUGAUCAGCUUCAAGGAUCGUGUGAGUAUUCCAAGAUCGACUUGCAGUCGGGACACCACCAAUUGAAGAUCAAACCCAAGGAUGUAUCGAAGACGGCUUUUAGAAUACGGUAUGGACAUUAUGAGUUCACAGUUAUGCCGUUUGGGCUUACUAAUGCCCCGGCUGCUUUUAUGGAUCUGAUGAACCGUGUUUUCAAGCCUUACUUGGAUAGAUUUGUCGUGGUGUUCAUCGACGACAUUUUGGUUUAUUCUCGAAGUGACGCAGAUUACAAGGAGCAUUUGAGGCUUGUACGUCAAAUACUUCGGGAAAAGGAGCUGUAUGCCAAGUUGAGAAAGUGUGAAUUUUGGCUUCGAGAGGUUGCUUUUCUUGGACAUUUGAUUUUGGGAUCGGGUAUAGCUGUGGAUCCUAAAAAAAUUAAGGCUAUCAAGGAUUGGCCUAGACCGACGUGUCACGGAGAUACGGAGCUUCGUUGGAUUGGCCGGUUACUACCGGAGGUUUGUUGAGGGAUUCGCUAAGCUAUCUACUACUCUCACGAGGCUCACGCAUAAAGGUGUCAAGUUCAUCUGGAAUGAGGCAUGUGAGAGAAGCUUCCAAGAGCUGAAGCAACGACUGACGACCGCCCCUAUCCUAACCCUGCCAAUUGCUGGAGCAGAGUAUGUGGUUUACAGUGAUGCAUCUCUUAACGGAUUCGGCUGUGUUUUGAUACAGGACGGCAAGGUGAUCGCGUAUACUUCUCGCCAAUUAAAGAAAUAUGAAAAGAAUUACCCUACGCACGAUUUGGAGUUUGCGGUCGUAGUCUUCGCAUUGAAGUUAUGGCGCCACGACCUCUAUGGCGAGCGGUGUGAAGUGUACACAGAUCACAAGAGCUCGAAGUACUUGUUCACUCAGAAGGAGACUUGAGACAGCGUAGAUGGCUGGAGCUGCUCAAGGAUUAUGAUUUGACUAUUCUUUACCACCCGGGCAAGGCUAACGUGGUGGCGGAUGCACUAAGUAGGAAAUCAACAGAAAACUUAGCGAUGUAUGUUGUUACUUAACCGCAAUUGAUCGAGCAAAUGAAGCGGUUGGAGUUGGAGGUAGUGACUCCUGACACGCCUGUGAGGUUAAUGACUUUGGUGAUGCAACCCACACUCUUGGAUAGAAUUAAAGAGAAGCAAGCUUCCGAUGUGGAGUUGCGAAAGAUUAAAGGUAAAAUGGUUGAUGAUUGCACCGACGAUUUCCUUGUGGAUGACCAAGGAUUUAUGCGUUUCCGUGGACGGAUUUAUGUACCGGCAGAUUCGGGAAUUAAAGAGGAUAUUCUUCAAGAAGCACACCGAGCGCCCUAUGUUAUACAUUCGGGAGGCACCAAGAUGUACAAGGACUUGAAGUUGCUUUAUUGGUGGCCCGGGAUGAAAAAAGAUGUUGGCGAGUUUGUAGCUCGAUGUCUAACUUGCCAACAAGUGAAAGCUGAGCACCGAUUACCCACGGGAAAGCUUCAGAGUUUGCCUAUUCCCGUGUGGAAGUGGGAGAAGAUUACCAUGGAUUUCGUGACUGGAUUGCCUCGCUCUCAGGCCGGGCAUGAUGCUAUAUGGGUGAUCGUGGAUAGGUUGACGAAGUCAGCGCACUUCAUACCUAUUCAUACUAUUUGGACCGGAGAGAAGGUCGCACAAGUAUACCUUGAUGAAAUUGUGUGACUUCAUGGAGUGCCUACAUCGAUAGUAUCGGAUCGAGACACUCGGUUUGUGUCUCAUUUAUGGAGGAGUCUACAAGACGCCUUGGGCAUCCGAUUGGACUUCAGCACUGCUUUCCACCCCUAGAGUGAUGGGCAGUCGGAGCGCACCAUUCAAACUUUAGAGGAUAUGCUCCGAAUAUGUUUUAUAGACUUCUAGGGAGGAUGGUCGCAGCAUCUACCGAUGGCGGAGUUUGCUUAUAACAACAGUUAUCAAGCAAGCAUCAAGAUGGCACCUUUCGAAGCACUUUAUGGACGGAAGUGUAGAUCACCACUUCAUUGGAGCGACGUAGGCGAGAGAUUGGCUUUAGGCCCUGACGUGCUCCAGGAAGCUGAGGACAAAGUUCGAAUUGCUCGGGAGCGACUUUUGACGGCACAGAGUAGACAGAGGAGCUACACCGACCGACGACGGCGAGACUUGGAGUUCCAAGUUGGAGACCAUGUUUUCUUGAAGGUCUCGCCAACUAGAGGAAUCAAGAGGUUUGGGAUUCGGGGAAAGUUAAGCCCCCGGUUUAUUGGACCAUAUAAGAUCUUGGAACGUGUAGGUCCGGUGGCGUAUCGACUUGCUCUACCACCGAACCUAUCGGUCCUGCACAACGUCUUUCAUGUAUCGGUCCUUCGGAAGUAUGUCUUCAACCCGACUCACGUAUUGGACGCUACACCUUUGGAGUUGCGGGACGACUUGAGCUUCGAGGAGCAACCAGUGAGGAUUUUGGCUCGUGAGGUGCGAAAACUGCGGAAUCGGGAUAUUCCGUAUGUGAAGGUUCUUUGGAGCAACCACGGGGAGCGGGAGGCCACGUGGGAGCUGGAGAGCGCGCUACAGGAGCGCUAUCCCCAUCUUUUUCAGAUGGAGUCUUGAGGUAUGUGUUGGCUUUCGAGUUUCGUGGACGAAACUUCUUUUUAGGAGGGAUGAAUGUAGCACACUGGACCUUUGCAAAUUGCGAGGUUCGAGUGUUUAAUAUGGAUCCCGAACUUUUCCACACUUGGUGGAAGGUCGUAGAUGGUAUUCCGACCUAAAAGUUCGAUUUCUGGAGUUUUGGCUUUGUCCUGAGAGUUUUCACUCUCAGGGACCGGUCCCUGAUGGGAGAGACCGGUCCCCUCAGCACAGUGUCGAGACCAGCUUGAGGCAACCGGUCCCUGGCUGUGAGAGACCGGUUCCCGAACGCGUGUUUUGCGAGAAGGGUCCGAGAGACCGGUCCUUGGUAGGGAGAGACCGGUUCUCGAACGUUGGUUCUGCGGGGCAGGCUGAGAGACCGGUCCCAGGUGUCUUGGAGACCGGUCCCUUAGUCCGAAAACUGCCCAUACCCGGGUGUGCGCAGAGUAGAUAUUUGAGGAACCUAAGUGGAUUUUGUUACCUUAUAGGCUAUAGAGAGCCUCUCCUCUCUCUCUCACUCUUAUUUCCUCUCCCUCACACUCUCCCUACACUUCUAGAGAGAGAAGGAAAAGGAAAAGAAGAAGAAGGAGAGGAGAGGAGCUUACUUUGAGGCCUUGGAGCAUCAUCUUCUUCCUCAUUUCUCACCUUGGUGGCUUGGAGCUUGCGGUUGGAGCCUUAUGGAGGAUCAAACUCCAACCCUUCUUGGUUUAGAGCUUGGUUUGGAGCUUCUCUUGAGGUUUGUAGCUUGUAUUCCCUAUUUAAUAAAAGUUUUUCUAGAUUUUACUAGAUAAGACCCUAAAUUUUGGGAUUUAGAGUUUACUUUGGGAAUUUUUGAUUUGAGGGCUUUGAAACCUAAUUGAUGGGUUUAUAACCUUUAUUUAAGUUGGAUUUGAAGAACUCUAACUCCCAUUUGGAGCUUGAGAGAGGAUUUCUUCACCUAGGUGAGUUUUUCUCCACCUUAGCCUAUGUUGCUUAUUGAUUGAGCUUAGGGUUGAUCGUAAGGUUUGUUUGACCCUUGUUCCUACAUCUUUAGGGUGUUAGGAGACUAGUGGACACCUUCGUCGGAGCUUACGAAGGGUUUCGGUAACUUCGGUGGGUUUGACUUCAUGAAAUAGGGGCACAAUGGCCCCUAAGUAUUCGAUACUUGUCAUAACGCCAAUUCGAUUGCAUAUUUAUGUUAAACGAGAUUUAUGUGAAUUUUAGAACACUUAAAUUGCAUGCCUUAUGUAUCAUAAAAAUUUCACUCUAUAUAGUAGGGCAUUCGGAGCAUUUUUGCAUGCAUAUGAGGAGUGUUCGUGUUAGCGACUUGGAAACGUGUCUCUUAUGUUAGAGUUUACUCAAAUUAUGCAUUUGUAAACAAUAAACUCAUGUUUGGACUUAGUUGACAAAAAGCCAUAAAGAGGCACUUGACAUAGUAAACUGUAAAACUGCAACAUAGAGACAUAGCAAUAGGCCAUUGAACAUCUGCUAUAUUCCAUGUUAGAGGCAUGAUGACAUAGAGAUAGGCCUUUGAGACAUUCGACGUAUAUUCCAUGUUUUUAGACAUGAGGACUUGGUACUUGAGACAGAUUUUUCGCUUGCUUGCCAUUGUGCUCAUUCGCACAUUCUUGUGAGGGUCGCUCCCUACAAGCC